rnacentral:lncRNA from 1 species
UUUUGCAUACUGGCAGCGACAAGUUGAGACUUGUUCAACUUGACAUAGUCCUGCGGUCAUAGCGAAUCUUUCUAAAGCUCUGAUCAGUCAAGAAGGGGGUUGCAUCAAUCCUCAGAACCCUGAGUGGAACUUUCUGACGGAUUUAUUAGGAGGAAAACCUUCCUGGAAGCUGCAGAAGGACUAAUACAGAAUCCAUGUCUGGGAGAAACCUCGUGGCCUGGUCUCCAUUAUUUGAGAUGAGUUACAUCUUGGAGGUGAGGACGUGCCUCGUGGUCUAAAACUUCGGCACGAGGGCCCAACUGGAAUUCCACUUACGGGCCUGAUCUUUUGGCCAGAAGGAGAUUAAAAAGAUGCCCCUUAAGAUGGCUGUGCCUGUCAGCUGCAUGGAGCUUCGUUCGAGUAUUUUCUGAGCCUGAUGGAUUUACAGUGAUCUUCGGUCGUCUGAGGAAUAACUCUGGUGGAACAAUGCACUGGAAUGACACACGCCCUGCACAUUUCAGGAUACUAAAAGUGGUUUUGAAGGAGGCCCUGGCUGAAUGCCUCAUGGAUUCUUACAGCUUGGAUGUCCAUGUGGGAUGAAGGACCGCAGCUGGCUGCGAGGACUGAGAUCUCUGUUUACUUGGGUCUCUGCCAACUUCCUUUGGGUCUCCCUAUGGAAUGUAAGACCCCGACUCCUCCUGGUGAAGCGUCUGAUGCAUGUUCCGUCCGGCGCUCAGCUGGGCUUGAGCUGACCACGCUCCCUGGAGCCUUCUCCCGAGGUGGCGCAGGUGUCCUUGGCACAUACAGCCGUGGUGAUGGUACUUUAAGUGGAGGCUGAAUCAUUUCCCCUUUGAGCUGCAUGGCACAUGGCUCCCUUGGUGUUCCCAUUUUACAGCCAGGACACUGAGAUUUGGAGAGUUGAGGACGUGGAAGUGCUGAGAUGCAACAUAAGUUCCCCCAAAUUACUCAGCUACUUGAGGCACAGCUGACAUCCAGAAGCUUCUCCGGAAAGGCUUUUGGAGUUCCCCAAGGCAGAGUCAACAAGAACGACAGGAAAUUGAGGCUGUUCCCUUGACCUCUCCAGACAACUUCGUGGUGACUUCAAGCCCUCUUAUGAGGUGGUGGAUCAUAGCUACCGUUGAUUGAGAAGGACAGAAUAAUGGGCUCCAGAUUCGCAAGCCCCACCAAGAGGAUCACCCCAGGAACCCUUGGAGGCUGAGGAAUUCACUGAGGCUAGUGCAUCUCGAGACUCAGGAUGAAGACCCAACUUGGGGCUGUCAAAGGUGCAACCUGCCAGCUGAGACCUCCAAGGGUCGAGCCCGGGCCCCUUUGCCUUGUUCAUGGCUUAGGCCAGUGCUUAGCAUAUAGUAAACAACUUGUAAAUGUUUAUGAGAGGAUGUGUGGGGGGUCAUCCCUUCGGAAUGGCACACUGUCCAUUAUCAUUGUCCUCAGAGGCUCCAGCCUCAGGUGCUUCUUAAACUUCGAUGGGAAUGAUGGCAGCAGGUGGGUCCAGGGCUCAGCACGAGAGCUCACAGCAGGCUGUGCUCCACCCCACGCAGGCCCCCAGUCUUGCCAUGUUUCCUCUGCCUCACCAGGCUGGCCUAGAAACUGCUUCCAACUGAAGCCAGCCAACAUGCCUGCCCCUAACCACACCUGCAACUCUAGGGUCACCGUUAGUCUAGAUUAGGGGCCCUUAAACUGUAGCCUUUGCCAGGCAUGGUGGCUCAUGCCUGUAAUCCCAGAACUUUAGGAGGCCGAGGCGGGUGGAUCACUUGAGGUAGGAAGUUCGAGACCAGCCUGGCCAACAUGGCGAAACCCCGUCUCUACUAAAAAUACAAAAAUUCGCCAGACAUGGUAGCGCACACCUGUAAUCCCACCUACUUGGAAGACUGAGGCAAGAGAAUCGCUUGAACCUAGGAGGUGGAGGCUGCAGGGAGCUGAGAUCACACCACUGAACUCCAGCCUGGGCAACAGAGUGAGACUCCCUCUCAAAACAAACAAACAAACAAACAAAGAAACACUACAGCCUUUGGGCUAAAUCUGGUCAGUGUUCUGUGCUUGUAAGAACUCUGAGUUAAGAACAAUUUUUACGUCUCUCUAAAGGGUUGAAGAAUACAAAAAGAAUAUUUAACAGAGACCAUCUGGCUAGCAAAGCCUAAAAUAUUGACCCUCUGGUCCUUUACAGAAAAGGUGUGCCGGUCACUGGACUGGGCAGUGCCGACGGCACCCCGGGCUCCCUGUGAAAAUUUCAACCAUACACACUCAUCUCCUUUCUCUUAUCAACACUGAGGCAGGUGAGAUUAUCAUUCCUUGUAAACAUGGAGAAACUAAGGCACAGAGAGGCUUAACUCAUUUACCUGAGAAUCUAUUAAGUAACAGAGCCAGGGUUCCAACCCAGGCAGUCUAGCUUCAGAGUCCAUACCUCCUAGCUGCACUCUGGGCCAUCAGCGUAGGGACGAGCUUCAGACAAGAACUCCCCUCUUAGUUUCCACCCUAUCCUGCCCCACAGCCAGUGGACAGGCAUUUUGCACCCCAGCCUCCCCCAGCCAGCUCCUCCUCAGAGAUUUCCUGCAGGGACUUAGACGGGGCUCUGGGACCACCCUCCUUUUCUGCCCCACCCGGCACCUGGAACUCUGCUUGAUCCUGCUCCCUCUAAGGCUGGACACGUCUCCAUGAGCCAGGCCUGAAGUUGUUCCCCUCUCUGGACCUCAGGACCUCCCUUCCUAGGAGCAAUUCCUGUAUCCCCUAUCCUCUCUGCCUUCCCCUCUUCCCACCAUGUCCUUCCAAUAAGGGGCUGGAUUUGUAGUGUGCAGCCUUGGGAACAGGGUUGGGCUCAGGGAUUGGGAGCAGAGGCCCAGGGCUCUGACUGACCCUCUGUCAUCCCCAGGAGGAGAAGCUGCUGUAUUUAGAGUGUCACAAAGAAUAGUGUUGGAGGCUUCAGAAACCACGGGAGAUUCUGAACUUCUAGGCUAAGCAGAUGGGAUGGUGCCUCUGUGAUCAACAGGCCUGGUAGAGGGAGGCAGGAGGGGGUGAGAAUGGAAAGACAGCUGCCAAGGGGAACAGAGAGCUUUUCAAGUCACCGUUGUCCCCUCCCCACCUCACCAUCAGGGCUAAGACUAAACCUAACCAUCCGGUUGCAGCCCCUCGGCCCUGGGGAUGGAGAUUAGUGUGCAUAGAAUGAAGGUACAGAGGCCAUGUUCUGGCUGUGUGACCUUGCACAGGUUGCAUAACACUCUGUGCCUCACUUUACUCAUUUUUAAAAUGAUGAAGAUGAUAACUACCUGGCAGGGUCUUAUAUUAGAGAUAAUACGGUUCCCAGCACUUUGUAAGCACUCGGUGUGAAAUUGUCUUCUGCUGCUUCCCUUCAUCAGUCCACCCCUCCUCUGCAGAGGUUUCCUCCAUGCUGAGCAAGCUGGCAGUAACUAAGGCCCUGCUGGGCGCAUCCCUAGUGCCUUCUGCCCAGGCCUCGGGACCCCCAGGGAUCCUGGCCCCUGUGGACAGGGACUUUUGUGCUCUCCGUCACUGUUACCAGCAAGAGUGAGUCCUGCACUGAAUUUCCAUGGGAUCAUUGUUUGCUAACAUUUGUGUGUGAGUUACCGUCUAGAAAGCAGCUUUUCUGGCCUUUUCCCAUUAAUUUCACGAAAGUUAUCUUCCUUUGCCGUUACUGCAGUCCUGUGAGAGGUUCAUUACCCCAUUUUACAAACAACUAAUGCUCCCAGAUGAAGUGACUCCCCCGGGGUCGCCUAGCUAAGCAGUGGAGAGUGGGUCUCCCACCCGGCCCUCUCACUGUGACUCCUGUUCUCCGCGUCAUUGCAUAUGGCGACAUGUGGGUCACGUUUUCACACAUCCCUGGCUGAUAUGGAAUGGUGAGCUUUUCCUGGGUCUUCCGAGGAGGGAUGCUUUCAGGGGUGUUUUGGAAUGAAGGCAGUGGAGGCCAAGAGACCUCUAGGUCAAAGCCAGGCAGGAGGGUCCUCUCAGGGACCCAGCCAACAAGUUGCAUUUCUCCCUCAGAGGCUUGAAGAGGCAGAACACCCGAGAGGAGUCUGGGGCCACCACCCAGCGUCACUGGGAAAACGGCAGCAGGAAAUGUCCUCUCACCUGCGUGCUCCACCUCUGUCCACGCCUUCCCUCCUUCUGGAAGCCUUGCCUGACCACUGGCCUGCCCCUUCUAUGGGAAUCGCUGCUGACCUUGCAGCUCACUGUAGACUUAUAUGUAUGCAGAAAUAUAAUUUUAAUUACUUUUGUAUUGCUCCAAGAGUGAUACCGAAUCACAACAGAAAAUUUAAAUAAACAAACUAGCCAAAUUAAUACAAGCAAUCACCCCAGUCAAAUACACCCAGCUCACAUUUUGAUGUAAAAUCUUCCAGUACAUUUCCUAUGUACAUAUAUAUUUUUAGGAAGGAGAUUAUAUUUUACAUGCUGUUUUCUAAAACGUUCUUUUAAAACUGUGUCAUAAACAUUUUUCCUUAUAAUUAAAUCGUCUUCUACAACGAAAUUUGCUAAUGAAUUUUUUUUUUUUUUUUUAUCAUGGUCACUGUUGUGUUAUGUAUAUCUUAGUUUAGCAUCCUCAGUUACAUUGUAAGCAUUUUAAGGACUCAGUUUCCCCAGCCAGCCUCAGGGUGGGUUUGUUCAUUGAUUGAUGGCUGUGUGGGGUGCAGGAGGGAAGUAGAAAGUGAGUGAGAUUUGGGUAAGCAAAACUGGGUUUAAAUGCUGAGUUUGCAAAUUCCAUAAAUUUCUGCUUCCCUCCCUCCCUCCCUCCCUCCCUCCCUCCCUCCCUUCCUUCCUUCCUUCUUCCAGCCUUCCUUCCUCGCUCCCUCCAUUCCUCCCUCCCUUCCUUCCCUCCUUGCUGAAACAAAUGCCUUGUUAGAUAUUUUAUAUACUCAUGUAAAUAUGCACUCAUUUAAAUAUCAUGUGGGCACCUCCUCUGAGUGGCCCUGAGCUUGGUUCUGGGGAUGUGGCACUGCACAAGAGAAACCAGGUCUCUGCUCUCAUGGAGCUUGAUGCAUCCAGUUGGGGGCACAGACCCAAAUCAAGCCAACAGACAAAACCUAAGCAGGCCACUAACUUGUGUUUAAGUACAACAUCCACAUGGACGGGAAUGAGAAUUACAGGGGACCACACUUGAACUGGGGUCCAGCAAAGCCCUCUCUGGGGAGGUGACAGUCAAGCCCAGACCUAAAGAAGCCUGCUGCAGGGAGGGUGGAAAAGACGUUCUGACAAAGCCCUUGAGAUCGGGAAGGCUUUGGCUUAGAUGAGGAACUUCAGUUGGUCAUCCCCUCUCUCAUCCAUCCUAUUGAAACCACCUUUGCAAAAAGUAUAUCAGUGAGAAAAUUAUUUGCAAAAAAUUUUCAAAAGGUAUAUCAGUGAGAAAAUGAUAACAGCAAGCUGAGCUAACCCAACCUCCAUCUUGCCUUUCCCUUAAUUAUUCCUGGGCUAUUGGGUCAAGCUAACUUUAGAAGAUACUUAGGCUACGGUUUAAAUGAUAAUAGGCCUUGCCCAAAACUCAACCACUUUUGUAAAGCUAAUAGGGGACCAUCAGGGUGUGGGGAGAAGAGCCUGAAUCCUACUAAGGUGCAGACAUUAUUCCGGUGGUUAUAAGAUAUGCAACUUUCCCAAUACAACACUACUAUUAUAGAUUGGCCUUUUGCGAUAUCUUUCCAGGUUUUUUGCAUAUUUGACACCCAUGGCUCCACCUGGACCUGAUGGCUCCACCCAGAAGCAAUUCAGCCCCACAGGAGGACAGCUUCAACCCAUUACCAUUUCCUCUCUGCCCCAACCAAUCAGCAGCAAGCACCUGUUACCUGUCCACCCCCACCCCUUCCCCCAAACUGCCUUUGAAAAAUCCCUAACCUAUGAGCUUUGAACAAGAUGAUAUGAGUACGAACUCCAUCUCCCAU